AGAGUUUGAUCCUGGCUCAGAACGAACGCUGGCGGCAGGCUUAACACAUGCAAGUCGAGCGCUGUAGCAAUACAGAGCGGCAGACGGGUGAGUAACGCGUGGGAACAUACCCUUCGGUUCGGAAUAGCUCAGGGAAACUUGAAUUAAUACCGGAUACGGCCGGAAGGCGAAAGAUUUAUCGCCGAAGGAUUGGCCCGCGUUCGAUUAGCUAGUUGGUGAGGUAACGGCUCACCAAGGCGACGAUCGAUAGCUGGUCUGAGAGGAUGAUCAGCCACAUUGGGACUGAGACACGGCCCAAACUCCUACGGGAGGCAGCAGUGGGGAAUAUUGGACAAUGGGCGCAAGCCUGAUCCAGCCAUGCCGCGUGAGUGAUGACGGCCUUAGGGUAGUAAAGCUCUUUCGCUAGGGACGAUAAUGACGGUACCUAGACAAGAAGCCCCGGCUAACUUCGUGCCAGCAGCCGCGGUAAUACGAAGGGGGCUAGCGUUGUUCGGAAUUACUGGGCGUAAAGCGCGUGUAGGCGGGCUUUUAAGUCAGGGGUGAAAUGCCAAGGCUCAACCUUGGAACUGCCUUUGAUACUGGAAGUCUUGAGUCCGGGAGAGGUGAGUGGAACUGCGAGUGUAGAGGUGAAAUUCGUAGAUAUUCGCAAGAACACCAGUGGCGAAGGCGGCUCACUGGCCCGGAACUGACGCUGAGACGCGAAAGCGUGGGGAGCGAACAGGAUUAGAUACCCUGGUAGUCCACGCCGUAAACGAUGGAUGCUAGCCGUUAGGCAGCUUGCUGCUUAGUGGCGCAGCUAACGCUUUAAGCAUCCCGC
rnacentral:rRNA from 1 species